GACGGAGGAUGCAAGUGUUAUCCGGAAUCACUGGGCGUAAAGCGUCUGUAGGUGGUUUAAAAAGUCCACUGUUAAAAAUUGAAGCUUAACUUCAAAGAUGCCGUGGAAACUUUUAAACGUUGAGUAUGAUAGGGGUAGAGGGAAUUUCCAGUGGAGCGGUGAAAUGCGUAGAUAUUGGAAAGACCACCAAUGGCGAAGGCACUCUACUGGGCCAUUACUGACACUGGACGAGACGAAAGCUAGGGGAGCGAAUGGG
rnacentral:rRNA from 1 species